CAUAAUGCUACGUUUUAUAAUUUUAUCUUUUAUAAUAACCAUAUGCAUUUAUGUUAAUCUAAUUUGGACUGAUUGUAUACAAUGUCUUAAUGCUAAAGAAAAUGUUAACAAUCAAACCGGAUGUUGUCAACAAAAUUACAUAUGUUUUGGCGGUCGGUAUUGUAGAGGUGCCGGUUUUAGGGGUCCAUAAAUUUAUC